GGAGACAUAGCUCAGUGGUAGAGCAUUUGCGUGACAUGCAGAUGACUCCA
rnacentral:tRNA from 1 species